rnacentral:rRNA from 1 species
UACGAAGGGGGCUAGCGUUGCUCGGAAUCACUGGGCGUAAAGGGCGCGUAGGCGGCCGGCCAAGUCGGGGUGAAAGCCUGUGGCUCAACCACAGAAUGGCCCUCGAUACUGGCUGGCUCGAGACCGGAAGAGGUUGGUGGGAAUUGCGAGUGUAGAGGUGAAAUUCGUAGAUAUUCGCAAGAACACCGGUGGCGAAGGCGGCCAACUGGUCCGGAUCUGACGCUGAGGCGCGAAGCGUGGGGAGCAAACAGGA